rnacentral:lncRNA from 1 species
UUGCGCUUAGGAAAGUGGCAGCACAUGGGUACGCCUGCUCUUCUACUUUCAUGGAGAGUAAUGGCUGAUAAGGAUUGUGGCCCCUCAUCGUCCACUGAACUGGCUCUGUAGAAGUUUUUCUUCUUCACUUGCCCAGAGGACUUUGCAACUGGGUGCAUGCACUCUACUCUCUCUCUCAUCACCCCCUUUCUUGCCAUCUUAGCUCUUGCCAAGUUAUCAGAGUGAGUUUUUUCUUUAUUUUUUUCUCUUGCCAAGUUAUCACAGUGACUUUCUUCAUUUUUCUCGAGGAUUAUUUGCCUCUUUUUCAAUCAUUUUCUUCUGGUUUUUCUUUACGAUAACAAAAAAUAAACCCCUGGAUUUAACGCUAGCAACCUCCAUUUGAACCCAUUCUUUUCUUUUUUUGUUUACUAUUUUUGUUUCCUGGUUACUGCUAACGCCAAAUCUAAAUGCAAUAGUCCUAGGUUUCGGGAUCUUUCCAUUUGAUGUUGAGAUCCAGAGGAGGAAAAACAUGAGGACACUAGAAAAGUAAUCAUCAGCAUUCAGCAUUAAGAAAUGUCGUGGAACAUACCUUCAGAAUUUAAAAAACGAAGUUUCUCAUCUUAAGGUCCCAAGUUCAAUACCCAAUUGUAACACAAGUCGAGAUUGCAAAUACCAUCUGGAUUUUGCACAGCUACAUCUAAUUGAGGAGAGCACAGAGCUCUGUUGGCGAAAAAUCUUUUCAUCAUCAGGUUUCUAAGCAAGCAAGAAUAGAUAUUGAGAUGCAAGCAACAAAAGAUAAAGAAGACGAUGAAGAAGGAUGAAGAAAGGGAGGAACUUGAGCCACUCAAUUCUUAAAGUAAAGCUGACCAUAAUUUUGAGGUACAAUUGAGAGAUAAAAUUACAGCACAAAUGCG